ACUCAGGUGGCUUAGUAGGUUAGAGCGUGACUUUACGCUUGUUGAGGGCGUAGGUUCAAUCCCUACCCUGGGUU
rnacentral:tRNA from 1 species